UACGUAGGGGGCGAGCGUUGUCCGAAUUCACUGGGCGUAAAGCGCGCGUAGGCGGGCUAUUAAGUUGGAGGUGAAAUCCCGGAGCUCAACUCCGGAACUGCCCCCAAAACUGAUAGCCUUGAGGUAUGGAGAGGGAAGUGGAAUUCCAGGUGUAGCGGUGAAAUGCGUAGAUAUCUGGAGGAACACCCGUGGCGAAGGCGGCUUCCUGGCCAUAUCCUGACGCUGAGGUGCGAAAGCUAGGGGAG
rnacentral:rRNA from 1 species